rnacentral:lncRNA from 1 species
CGGCCACACUCGGCCUCCAGCCCCGCCUCUCGGCCCGCCUUUUCCUCCCGGCCCUGCGUUGGUGGGCGCGCCGCGGGCUCUAAAAGCUCGACUGUCGGCCGGGCGCUGUGGCGCACGCCUGUAAUCCCAGCACUUUGGGAGGGCAAGGUGAUGUUGGACGUGACAGAGGAGGUGACAGGUCACCCUGAGUGCGGGACUCCGUGUCCAGAAGGAAGUGGGCCUCCAGGUGCCACGCCUUUGCUUCUGCUGUGGCAUCUGAUGAGUUCCCUGUUCAUCUCUCCAGGCAUUCCCAGGGCAGUCAGCCCUGAUGCCCAGGGGCUAGGCUUGCAAGACCGCGCAUUAGGUUCGCAGAGCUAGAGUGCAAGGCCAGACCUGGUACCAACAGCAUCUCCGCCUUCGUCCUCAUCUGGUUCCCGCCUCAAACCUGUACCUGUGCGGAGGAGCCUGGAAGGUGCGUGCUGUGAAAGUAAAUGAAUGAAUGAGGCUCCUGGGGGAUGGCGGGCGCGUGUUUGCCCCUAUAGGGCUGCUACAAUGGAAAGAGCAUUUGCUAGUUGGAUUCAUGGGUUCCAGUUCUGGUUCCAUUCAUCAUUGCUGCUUAAUAAGUUCCUCCUCCCAUCUGGGUCCUAACUUCUUGUUUCUUUGUUUGUUUGUUUAUUGGUUUUGUUUUUUUCAGACGGAGUUUCGCUUUUGUUGCCCAGGCUGGAGUGCAAUGGCGCGUUCUCAGCUCACUGCAACCUCCGCCUCCCUGGCUGAGGCAGGAAAAUUGCUUGGAGGCGGAGGCUGCAGUGAGCCGAGAUCGCGCCACUGCACUCAGGCCUGGGAGACAGAGUGAGACUCUGUCUCAAAAAAACAAAACAAAAAACAAACAGAAAAAAUGGGGGGUAGGGGGUUUGAGGAGCACAAGGCUUGGACCUACUAGACCUGGAGAUUUGGGGAACGAGGGAUGCCAGCCAUGUUCCUUGUACUGUAUGCAAAAGGGAAGUAACAAGUAUUGAAUGUUCACUUACCUCUUUCAUUCCCCAAUAUGAAAUAGAUAUUCCCAUUUGCAAAAAAAAAAAAACAAAAAACAAAAAACAAAAAAAAAGAAGGCUCAGGAGAACUAGAAAGCAGAUGAAACAAAGAGGACUUCAUUCAGUACCAGAUGAAUUUAGUAUUUCUAUGUAUGUAUGUGGGUCUCCUAAUUUGAUUUUCAAAUUGUUCUUUAGAAAGAUUUUUAGCUAUAUUAAGAUUUCUUAAAAAGCUGGGCCAUGCCAGGCAGGGUGGCUCAUGCCUACAGUCCCAGCCACUCAGGAGGCUGAGGCGGGAGGAUCACUUAGCCCAAGAAAGGCUGCAGUGAGCUAUGACCAUGCCACUGCACUCCAGCCUGGGCAACAGUGAGACCCUGUCUCAAAUAAAUUGAAAAAAAAAAAAUGCUGGACCAAGAGUAUAAUUUCAGGCAUCAAUUCUGUAGUUCCUUACUAGAGAAGUUUCUCUUAACAUGUACAACACUGGAAACCAUGAGGAGGUGGCAGCACAGCAUUCUCUGCUGAGCGUGAGGUUGGCUCUUGGUGUUGCUUUGCUGCAACUGUCAUUUGCCAUUGAUGAUGGUUCUUCUCUUCCUCCGAGGGAGAGAAUGCAGUCUGAGUGGGGGAAAAAGCCUGGGCCAUGGACUUAUAGACUGUUAACAUUGGAGUCUUGCUAGUGAACAUUUUAGCUAUGAUUGGAUUGUUUGGAUAGCUGAGUUUGAUAUUUACAAUAUCCCUAGCUUACCACUUAAUGUCUGCUCUUCUAGAUGCUGUCCUUUUCCCGUAUCUUGUUAGUAUUCUCUUUAACCCAUUUUUCAGCUAAGUGAAGUGUUAGUAUUCCCUCCUCUGACACUUGUUCACUCAGCACAAAGAAUUCCUACUGUUACCUCUCCAGAACCCUACGGUCAUUAUAGUUGAGGAAGCUGAUGCAGGUGGGAGAAAGGACCAGACGCAUGGACCAUGCUGUUAAGGGAACAGGGACAGAGUGGGUUUUAAUCUGGUUCACCCAUCCACUUACUAGUUUGUAACCUGAGAGCUUCCACUUCCCCAUCCCCAACAUGGGGACAUACUGUCAUGGGACUGUUGUGAAGAAUGACAUGCCACACAGAUGAGCAGUCCUAGCUAAUGUUAGCUGUUAAUGGGUGAAGGAAAAGCAGGCACUUAACAUGUGGAUAUAGGCUAUCCCUUAUCUUUGUCUUGUGACACCAUCCUCACUAGUUCACAAUUGCCCUUUCGUACAGGCUAAGCAUCCCUUAUCCGAAAUGCUUGGAACCAUUUGUGUUUCAGAUUUCUACUUUUUUCCAGACUUCGGAAUAUUUGUAUAUACUUAAGGUUUUUAUGUAUACUUUAUGAUCUUAGAUAAUUUUAGACAGGGUCCUGCUCUGUCACCCAGUCUUGAGUGUAAUGAUACAAACACGGCUCACUGAAGCCACAGGUACAUGCCACCACACUGCACUAAUUUAAAACAAAAUUUCUUGUAGAGGCUGGGAUAGGUUUAAGCAAUCCUCCUGCCUCAGCCUCCCAAAGUGCAGGAAUCGCAGGCAUGAACCACCAUGCCUGGCCUAUGGUUUUAAUAUACAGGUUGGGCAUUCCUUACCUGAAAAUCCAAAACGUUCCAAUGAGCAUUUCCUUUGCGUGUCACGUUUACGUUUUGGGUUUUGGGUAAGGGAUGCUCAAGCCAUGUAUUAAAAACACAAAACUAGCCAGGCAUGGUGGCUCAUACUUGCAAUCUCCCAGCACUUCGGGAGGUCAAGGCGUGCAGAUCACUUAACACCAGGAGAUUGAGGUUUUCCUACAAAAAAUUAGCCAGGCAUGGUGGCAUGCCUGUAGUCCCAGCUACUUGAGGGUGGCUGAGGUGGGAUGACCGAUUUGAGCCUGGGAGUUUGAAGCUGCAGUAAGCCAUGGCUGCACCACUGCACUCCAGCCUGGGCCACAGCAAAAGAACCCCUCUCAAAAAACUUAAAACAUAAAACUCUAAUACUGACACCUACAUACUCCUACCCAUUGUCAACUCCACCUUGCUCAAGGUCCUAAAUUGUUCACUAUCCCGUCUUUGGUAUUUAUUACUCUUAGCAGAUGCAUAUAUUUAAUGUCUUUUUUGAGCUUAUGAGAAGCCCCAAGUGUUGCUUUGAACAUUCCCAGGCAUGUAUCCUAUGUCCACAUGUAGUUUCUCUUGAGUAAUGCCUCAAAGUAGAACUGCCAUUUUCCCCAAGUAGUUGUAGUAACUUACACAAAUGGUCUUUUUCACAUUGACACGAGGAGUCCCGGCUAGAAGUCACGCUUUUCAUCACUGAAUGUCUUCAUCUACUAAAUGCUAAUGGAGGUAAGGAUAAGACUCAUUCAUGUGCCUGGCAUGUCAUUAGCUGCUCUGAACACACAAUACCCACGGUUUAUUAUAUAAAUCCAAGCCUGAAAAGUUGAAAAUUCCAUUCAUGGUAUUAUUAAUUGGCAAACAAAAAAAGCUCUUAGUUUUUGGAACACAGGUUUGAAUCUUUUUUUUUUUCCACUUUGUGUAACUGGAGACCUUAAUAAACUAUUAAGUAAACUUUCUGCACUCCUUCAGUGUUACCAUAAAACUCCCAAACAUUUGGUGAGACAUUACAUAGCUAAGUCUUGUUUUUUUACAACCUUGGGAUGUAGCAGUCAACAUUCAGCAUACGUCAAAGUUCGUUCUUAGGCAGGGUUGUAUAGGGUAAAUACCCAGGAGGCUUUCUAAAGCUGGUCUGUAUUACCCUCCACCCCCA